rnacentral:lncRNA from 1 species
GUGGACACCACGGACCAACCACUUUGGUUCAUACCUUAUAACCGUUUAGGUGAUUAGGUCAUGCUGAAUAAUAUUUUCAGCACCGAUAUGCUCACAACAUUCAGCCCCACAUAUAGCACCGAACGGUGCGUUUCAAGGUAACUAUAAAAUGGUCACUGUAGAUGGAUAAUUACAACACACGCGCAUCGAGAAAAAACAUACGCGCUCUCUGGCAGAACAACCACGCACGCUCUGGCUCUUUCGCUCUCUCCCUCAAUCCUACCAAUCCAGCAAUCACCAUCGGCUUCGUCUCUCUCUCGCCCGUCCAUUGCAUCUCUCACAGCGCCUCACUCUCUCGGCUGUCUCAAAAAUUCGACUUGCAGCCUCACUCUCUUAGCUUCACUCAUCGAUUUCUAGCGGUAAUUUGCUAAUUAAUUCCAAAUUUGAUUGUAAAGAUAAUUAGUUGUAAAGAUUCAGCUGUCAUUUAGUUAAACAAGGGAAGCUUGCUGCAACACACCAUGAAUUGAAUAUAAAUUAUUGUGACAAAUAAUUGAGGAUAAUGUUUAUUCAAUAUCUACAUAAAAUUCUUGCACCGAAAGUAGUGAUAAGUUUUUUAUUUGUUCAUCUUGCCUUCUUUAUUUUUUCGGAUGACAACAAGAUGUUUAAUUUUUUUUUAAUAGCACAUACAAGCUCAGCGACAUGGACAUUUUCAGCAGCUACUCUUUCAACAAGAUAAUGAAUAUGGAGUUAAUAGGUAGUUAUUUCUCAGAAUAAGAAUGUACUUGAAU